rnacentral:rRNA from 1 species
AGAGUUUGAUCCUGGCUCAGGACGAACGCUGGCGGCACGCUUAACACAUGCAAGUCGAACGAGAGAAGAGGAGCUUGCUUUUCUGAUCUAGUGGCGGACGGGUGAGUAACACGUGAGCAAUCUGCCUUUCAGAGGGGGAUACCGAUUGGAAACGAUCGUUAAUACCGCAUAACAUAAUUGAACCGCAUGAUUUGAUUAUCAAAGAUUUAUCGCUGAAAGAUGAGCUCGCGUCUGAUUAGCUAGUUGGUAAGGUAACGGCUUACCAAGGCGACGAUCAGUAGCCGGACUGAGAGGUUGAUCGGCCACAUUGGGACUGAGACACGGCCCAGACUCCUACGGGAGGCAGCAGUGGGGAAUAUUGCACAAUGGAGGAAACUCUGAUGCAGCGAUGCCGCGUGAGGGAAGAAGGUUUUAGGAUUGUAAACCUCUGUCUUCAGGGACGAAAAAAGACGGUACCUGAGGAGGAAGCUCCGGCUAACUACGCGCCAGCAGCCGCGGUAAUACGUAGGGAGCGAGCGUUGUCCGGAAUUACUGGGUGUAAAGGGAGCGUAGGCGGGAUCGCAAGUCAGAUGUGAAAACUAUGGGCUUAACCCAUAAACUGCAUUUGAAACUGUGGUUCUUGAGUGAAGUAGAGGUAGCGGAAUUCCUAGUGUAGCGGUGAAAUGCGUAGAUAUUAGGAGGAACAUCAGUGGCGAAGGCGGCUUACUGGGCUUUAACUGACGCUGAGGCUCGAAAGCGUGGGGAGCAAACAGGAUUAGAUACCCUGGUAGUCCACGCCGUAAACGAUGAUUACUAGGUGUGGGGGGACUGACCCCUUCCGUGCCGCAGCAAACGCAAUAAGUAAUCCACCUGGGGAGUACGACCGCAAGGUUGAAACUCAAAGGAAUUGACGGGGGCCCGCACAAGCAGUGGAGUAUGUGGAUUAAUUCGAAGCAACGCGAAGAACCUUACCAGGUCUUGACAUCGUAUGCAUAGCUCAGAGAUGAGUGAAAUCUCUUCGGAGACAUAUAGACAGGUGGUGCAUGGUUGUCGUCAGCUCGUGUCGUGAGAUGUUGGGUUAAGUCCCGCAACGAGCGCAACCCUUACUGUUAGUUGCUACGCAAGAGCACUCUAGCAGGACUGCCGUUGACAAAACGGAGGAAGGUGGGGAUGACGUCAAAUCAUCAUGCCCCUUAUGACCUGGGCCUCACACGUACUACAAUGGCUGUCAACAGAGGGAAGCAAAGCCGCGAGGUGGAGCGAACCCCUAAAAGCAGUCUUAGUUCGGAUUGUAGGCUGCAACCCGCCUACAUGAAGUCGGAAUUGCUAGUAAUCGCAGAUCAGCAUGCUGCGGUGAAUACGUUCCCGGGCCUUGUACACACCGCCCGUCACGCCAUGGGAGUCGGUAACACCCGAAGCCUGUAGUCUAACCGCAAGGAGGACGCAGUCGAAGGUGGGAUUGAUGACUGGGGUAAAGUCGUAACAAGGUA